rnacentral:rRNA from 1 species
CAGUCGCCGCGGUAAUGCGUAGGUCCCGAGCGUUGUCCGGAUUUAUUGGGCGUAAAGCGAGCGCAAGCGGUUAGAUAAGUCUGAAGUUAAAGGCUGUGGCUUAACCAUAGUACGCUUUGGAAACUGUUUAACUUGAGUGCAAGAGGGGAGAGUGGAAUUCCGUGUAGCGGUGAAAUGCGUAGAUAUAUGGAGGAACACCGGUGGCGAAAGCGGCUCUCUGGUCUGUCACUGACGCUGAGGCUCGAAAGCGUGGGUAGCGAACAGGAUUAGAUACCCCUGUAGUCCCUGUCUCUUAUACACA